rnacentral:lncRNA from 1 species
UGUCAAUAAAUGGAUUGGUUGAAUAAUACACAUCAAUCAAUAAUAUAAAUAUUUUUCUUUAUUUUUCCAGUAUGAUGGUGAAAUUAGAGUCCUGUAUUCGACCAAAGUGUCCCCCUCCUUAACUUCUAAAAAGUGGGGCACCAGAGAGCUGCAGGUGAAGCCUGGUGAAUCUCUUGAAGUUAUACAAAGCACUGACGAUACAAAAGUUCUCUGCAGAAAUGAAGAAGGAAAAUAUGGUUAUGUCCUUCGGAGUUACUUGGUGGACAAUGAUGGAGAGAUCUAUGAUGAUAUUGCUGAUGGUUGCAUCUAUGACAAUGACUAGAUAUCAGCCUUGUUCAUUUUGUUAUGUUCAUUUGAUGCCAAAAUGAAGUCUGAGUUUUAAUUGACAUGGGAUUGGAUAUCAUAGAAAAUGAAUGCACACAACUACUUAUUACCAUUGAAUAUAAAAUUCUGAUUAUCUUUAUGAAGUUUUGAAGCUUUCUACUUAGAAAAUGAUCUUAAUAUCUUGGAAGACUGCAUCGAUGAGAUGUAAGAAUUACUGAAUAUCUCAUCUGCUCAGCUUCGUGUUGAAGGCGCUUCUUUUAGACCAUCAGUAGACAACCUCCCCUCCCUAAAA